rnacentral:rRNA from 1 species
UCUACGGGAGGCAGCAGCAAGGAAUCUUCCGCAAUGGGCGAAAGCCUGACGGAGCAACGCCGCGUGUGGGAUGACGCCUUUCGGGGUGUAAACCACUUUUCUCAGGGAAGAAGCACUGACGGUACCUGAGGAAGAAGGACCGGCUAACUACGUGCCAGCAGCCGCGGUAAUACGUAGGGUCCGAGCGUUGUCCGGAGUUACUGGGCGUAAAGCGCGCGCAGGCGGCGGUGUAAGCAUGGCGUGAAAGCCCCAGGCUCAACCUGGGAGGGUCGUCGUGGACUGCACCGCUUGAGGGCGGUAGGGGCUGGUGGAAUGCCUGGUGUAGUGGUGAAAUGCGUAGAGAUCAGGCGGAACACCCGUGGCGAAGGCGGCCAGCUGGGCCGUCCCUGACGCUGAGGCGCGAAGGCGUGGGGAGCGAACGGGAUUAGAUACCCCGGUAGUCCACGCAGUAAACGAUGCAGACUAGGCGUGGGGGGAGUUGACCCCCUCCGUGCCGGAGCCAACGCGGGAAGUCUGCCGCCUGGGGAGUACGGCCGCAAGGCUAAAACUCAAAGGAAUUGACGGA